AAUGCCAUAGAGGGUCAGGAUUACAAUCUGCCUAUUCUGAUUCUUCUACUAUGGGAAAAAUUCUUUUCCACAAUUGAUGUAAAAGCCUCUGUUAAUAGUUUUCCUGUUAACAACCUAACUAUUCGACUGCUGAAUAAAAACCAUUAGGACACCUAAAGUAACAGAAAGGAUUUUGGCAAGAAAUAGUCAUUCCAAUAUCAAUGACUAUGGAGGAAAUGCGAUUACUUUUCUUUGCUUGUUUUCCUGGUUUGUGUACUUAAUUAUGAGUCACAGAAUUUAUAACAACCCCAAAACGUACCAUUUUUAUACAAAAAUUAAAUAAUAGCCCAAACUAAGUAUUUGGCUCUUAGGAAUUUGAGAACUUUUGCAAAAUGAUAACAUCUCUCAUAAAAAAUAAAUGUUGUUAAACUAUAUAUAUUUAAUAAACCCAUUGCAGUAACUAGCAAAAAUAAAUUUAGCUUUCUGAAAUGCCUAAGUGCAUACUGAAUGUUUCUCUAGAUACUCUCUGAAACUUGGAAACUAAGUUUAAAAACAUAAACUCUCUUUCUUUAAAUAAACGCCAUUCAAAAGUAGUACUAAA